rnacentral:sRNA from 1 species
AUGCCCACCAUGGCUUGGACAUGGAUCAUACUCUCACUUGUUUUGCUUGCUUAUAUCCUAGUACAACGGAAAAGCAAAACCAAGAAGAAGAAAUUACCUCCUGGUCCAAGAGGGUUCCCUAUCUUUGGGAACCUUCAUAUGUUAGGAGAAUUCCCUCACCAAGAUCUUCAUCAACUAGCUCAAAAACACGGUCCUAUCAUGCAUUUGCGCUUAGGGAUGGUACCUACCAUUGUUGUCUCAUCCCCUCAAGCUGCCAAGCUAUUCCUUAAAACACAUGACCUUGUUUUUGCUAGUAGACCACAUAAUGAGGCUGCAAAGCACAUCUCUUAUGAGCAAAAGAGCUUGGCCUUUGCUCCGUAUGGUUCCUAUUGGCGCAACAUACGUAAGAUGUGCACCGUUGAAUUACUUAGCAACGUCAAAAUCAAUUCUUUCAAAUCCAUGAGAAAGGAAGAGCUUGACCUAUUGAUAAAGUUCAUUCAAGAGGCAGCACGUGAAAAUGUUGCUGUUGAUCUCAGUGCCAAGGUUUCAUCUCUCAGCGCAGAUAUGAGUUGCCGUUUGGUGUUUGGGAAGAAGUACAUGGACAAGGAGUUUGAUGAGAGGGGAUUCAAGUCUAUAAUCCAAGAGGGUUUGCAGCUAACCGCAGCUCCUAACUUAGGUGAUUACAUUCCUUAUGUUGCACCCCUUGACCUUCAAGGGCUAACUCAGCGCAUGAAGGCUGUGAGUAAGAUCUUUGAUGCCUUUUUGGAGAAGACCAUUGAUGAGCAUGUCCAAUCCAAGGAUGAAAAUAAGACCAAGGACUUUGUUGAUGUCAUGUUGGGCUUCAUGGGAUCUGAGGAAUCUGAGUACCGAAUUGAACGACCCAAUAUCAAAGCUAUAAUCUUGGUAAUUAUUCAAAGAACUUACGUGAUAUUAGUAAGGAGUCAAACACAUCAUAUAUCAAAUCGUUAAAUUAAUAAUAUAGUCAAAGCUGAUUCUUUAUGUUUGUGUCGAAUCAAUUGUAUUAGGAAAAAAAAAAACGAUUCUAUAUGUUUGUGUGUAGAAUUCAAUUAUGUACCAAAUAUAAUCUUGUGUAUACAAUAUGAUUUAUAAUUAUUUUUUAUUUAUACUUUCCUACUAUCUAUUUAAACACUAAUUUUUAUAAGAAUUAAUCAAGUUGAAGCUAAAGCGGCAUCAUUUGCUAGAAUCAAAAUUUUAUUCUAGUGUAGUUUCUUUACUAGUCGAUCCCAAUAAUUUUGGGAUUAAGACUUGUUUGAUGUAAUUUUCUAACAAUGAUUUUCUUAUAGGAUAUGCUUAACGCCUCAAUGGACACUUCAGCAACAACAAUUGAUUGGAUGCUCACGGAACUAAUCAGGCAUCCUUGUAUAAUGAAGAAAGUUCAAAAGGAGUUGGAAAAUGUGGUGGGCUUAGAGAGGAUGGUAGAUGAAUCUGACUUGGAUUGCUUGGAGUACUUGGACAUGGUUGUAAAAGAAACCAUGAGGCUACAUCCAGUAGCACCUUUGUUGAUACCUCAUGAAUCAUUGGAAGAUUGCACAAUCAAUGAUUACCACAUACCUCGUAAGUCUAGACUCUUAAUAAAUGUAUGGGCAAUUGGGAGAGAUCCAAGUGUUUGGAUCGAGCCAGAUAAGUUUAAUCCAGAGAGAUUUGUUGGGAGUAACAUAGAUCUUAGAGGACAUGACUUUGAGCUUAUCCCAUUUGGGUCUGGGAGAAGAAGCUGUCCAGGAAUGCAAUUGGGUCUAACUGUGGUUCGGCUAGUGGUAGCACAGCUUGUUCAUUGCUUUGAUUGGGAGCUUCCUAAUAACAUGUUGCCAACGGAGUUGGACAUGACCGAAGAGUUUGGUCUCUCAACUCCUAGAGCCAAGCACCUACUUGCUAUUCCUACUUAUCGCCUUCACAAGUGACAAUGUGUUCUUUUUUGUUUUUGUUGUCUAGACUACUAAUUAAAGUGCCAGUAUGAAUGUCUAGAUUUGUGGUUGUUUACUUCUACUGCAUUUGCUCAUUUUGUGGAUCAUAUUUUCUGCUGUACCUACCUAUCAUGUACAACUCUAUAAGCUAUUACAUACCUGGUGUUCCUUACUCAUGGAAAAGUGUCGAAGAAGUAAUUAAUCUUGUGAUGCAGGAAACGCAAGAAAAUUAUUAUUUAGUAUUAUUUAUGUUUACGAAUCAGUGUAUUUUUAUGUUUUAGAUCCUAUUAGUUUAUUAGGCUAUUAGUAUUUUAAUUUAAAAGCAAGAUUACUUUUGAAAUAAGGCAAUUAGGGUUUCCUAGCCAAUUAGAAUUAUGGUUUAGCAAUCCUUUAUAAGCAGCCUAUUGUACUCCUUGAGAAGAUAGUUGAUAUUUUGAUGAAUGAAAAAAAUGGUUGUUUGGUCUUUCUUUUGGUCUGGUGCUGACUCUAGGUCCACCCUAAGUGCUGACUCCUAGUGGUUUUCCCGCUUAGUGUUGACUCCAAGCCAGGCCUAAGUGCUGACUCCAAGCCAGGCCUAGGUGCUGACUCCUAAGUCAUAUCCCUUUAUUUUAUUGUCAUUUCAGUUUUGUUCUGAUUGUUCUGCGUCAGUUUUGGUAUCAAAUCAAACACCGAUCUAUUUGAAUCAUCAUCACAAGUCAAUCUAGAACUAGACAAAAAAAAAAAAAAAAAGUUUUUACUGUAUAUUUUCCACCACCAAAAAUCCAACCACCACACCACCUUCAAAAUCCCUUCACGACAUCUUUGCUAAACCAACAUCAAAAAACCAUCUCACAAUACCCAUACGUAUCAAGCCACCAAAAGGUUACCUGUCAACCAAAGCCCUUUGACCCAACAACCAACAAACCUCAUCUGUCAAUCUUGGCCACCGUUGAAGCACCACACCAGGUGCUAGCAAAGCCAGCCACCACAACCAAAAACCUACCCACAACCCACAAAACCCAAGUGCCAAUCGUACAUCACGCCACCUUCACUGUUCCGCCAACAGCCACUGAAAGUAGCCAGUGACCUCCAUCGCCAACCAUGGAUCUGAUCUCAAAGGUAAUGCCUAACUCGGUCCUUUUUCUUCUUAACUCAAGUACCCUUUAAUCUUUGAAAACCCUCAUCCGACCCAUUUAUUAAUCAAGUUCCCCCUCUUGUUUUUGACCCACCCAAUUAGGAAGCCUUCUGGAUUUUAACAUUCCCUGACCCAAUCCAAUUAAAUUACACAAACCAACAAACCAACCCAAGUCAAUUUUUAAAUCCAAGGCUUUAAGUGAGUGCUCACCCAUUGUCCAAAAAGAAGAAGAAGAAGAAGAGCACGAAAUCCAAACUUGUCAACAAGCCCAAUCCCAGCAACUAUUUAGGAGAACAGUCUUAGAAGCCCAUUCCAACGAUUUGUCCAAAGAAAAUCAUAGCAACUAUUUGUUGAAGUACUAUUUUAGAGAAUCAUGGUAAUAUUAGAAGCAUAUUAUUUUGAUGGUUGUAAAACUAAUCCACAGGAUUUUGUCAACUGGAUAAAUGCGGUGAAGCAAUUCUUUGAGCAAGCAAAUUUUGCAGAUAACAAAAUGGUUAGGUAUGCAAAGUUGAAGUUAAGUGGUGGAGCACAAAUAUUUUGGAAGAAUCUUGAAUAUUCCCGCUAUCUAAAUUAUGAACCUGCCAUUAGCGUGUGGGAAGAUAUGAAAGAAAAGUUUUUUGAUGAGUAUUUGUCAUCAUACUUUCGAGCUAAGUAUCUAUCACAAUCUCAGUGUGGUACUUUUCAAGUCAAAGCACAAUUCUUUGAGCAAGCAAAUUUUGCAAAUAACAAAAAGGUUAGGUAUGCAAAGUUGAAGUUAAGUGGUGGAGCACAAAUGUUUUGGAAGAAUCUUGAAUAUUUUUGCUAUCUAAAUUAUGAACCUGCCAUUAGUGUAUGGAAAGAUACGAAAGAAAAGUUUUGUGAUGAGUAUUUGUCACCAUACUUUCAAGCUAAGUAUCUAUCACAAUCUCAAUGUGAUACUUUUCAAGUCAAAGCAAAUAGGAUGAACUCUCAUCCCAUUUCAUGUCCUCAGUGCACUUUUGAACAAUCUAUCAAGGAAUUAUCUACCAAGGAAUUAAAGGAAUUAUCUAUAAAGCUCAUAAAAGAUGUUAAAGACAAGAUUGCUUAAAUGAAGCAAAAGAAGACUCAAAUCGAUUUAAUUGGAAAACUAAGGAUACUUUAUCACAAUAAACUUAUUGCUACCCCAAUAUAAGACAACAUUAAUGAUGAUAUUUUAAUCGUGGAGAAUCCUCUAGCAACACCAAAGCCUAAUGUUGACACAAACGUACAUGCCUCGACAAGUGUUGCUUUAACAUGCGUGCAAGGAAAUGAAUCUACUGAAGAGCAUCAAGGUGAAGAGAUAGUGUCUAAAGAGAGUAUUAUGUUAGAGGGUGCACAUGAUGUGAUAUUGAAAGCUAAAGAAUUUGCUUUUGAUCAGCCUUCCAUGGUGCAUGAAGACAAGCAGUUUGCUAAAGUGGAGAAAGUAGAUAACAUAGUGCUUCCAAUGGUUCAAGAUAAGAUUAUGUUAAUUCCACACAUUGAUUUUAUUAUUCUAGAAGAGUUUGACAUGGUGGAAUUCAAGGUUUUGCUUUUCUCUAUGCUUCCUAGGGUGAUUCCAAACUUGAAGCAAGUGUUACUUAUUAGCAUCCUAAUCCUUCAACACUUUAGAACUCGAGAUUGAGUUUUCUCCAACCAGAGGAGAAUGAUACGGGAGAUGCAAGAAGAUUAUUAUUUAAUAUUAUUUGUAUUUGCAAGUCAAUUGUAUUUUUAUAUUUUAGGUCCUAUUAGUUUAUUGGGCUAUUAGUGUCACGCCCCAAACCCGAUACUCGAAUUUGUGACCAUGAUCGGCAUGCUAAUAUCAAGCCUAAACCUAAUAUUAACAAGAACCAACUUAACUCUUACAAAACUUUUACAAAAGCUUUCCUUUUUCUUAUCAUCUUUGUUUCUUUUACUUAAAUGGUAUAAUUUUUCACUUAACAUUCAGAGCAUCUACACUAUACUCGAAGAAUAAUAUAAUCCACCAGUUACUCAAAUUAUGAAUCUCACAUAAUACAUCUCUUAAUACUGUAAAGUACACAACUUUCUUUAGAUCCUCAAAUACACAAUACUACAAAACUAACAUCGAAUUGCUAAUUUUGGAUCUAUACUUUUAAACUAAAACUAGCUCCUUCCAAAACUCGACUAAGGCUCCCUCUGCUCCAAAAUAAACCUGCUAACUGAAAGAGUAGAAAGGGUGAGCUACACAGCUCAGUAAAGGUAAGAUAUAUGAGAAUUUAAUAAGAAUGCAUAUAAAUCAAUUUAUUUCAUUUUAUAAAUAUUCAAAUAGGAGAACCAGUUUUCAUGCAUAGCAUUUUAUACUAUUUAUAAUAAUAACGUAUACAUUCUUCAUAAAAAUAAUUGUUCUCCCGUAAUUUUGGUUUUAAUUUACUGCCAACUUAUCACUUGAUCUGAUCACGUUGAGUUGGGAAGAAAACAAAUUAUUAUUGUUUGAGUAGAUCAACGGAUUUGAUGAUUAGAUCGACCAGAUUCUCGGUUGAAACUGAGAACCAAGUCCUUCUACGAUUCUUUUAUCAGUUUGGUUUUUAAAACUAUGUUAAAUCAUCAAAUUGUGCCAAUAGAAUUACAAAACUCUUGACUCAAUGUUAGAAUCUAGUCCAAUAGAAGAGGAUGAAAUGGAACCCUUGGAUCUAAACCCACAAAAGGCUGAAAUGGUACUUAGACAACAUGAAUAUAGCUAGACGGAUUACCAGCAACUUUGUUUCUUACUAAAUAUAACAUACAUAAAACAAGUUGUUGGAUCUACUCAGCCUUAAUAAUUGAGAGGGUAGAAAAGUAGACAGUAACAUCUUUUAAUUGUAAACCACGUGGCUAGAAAUAUUUUCAACGAGAGAUCAAAUGCUUUAAUCGUAUGCAACUACGCUGUAUCUAAUUGGCUGCUCAAACUGGCUGCUUUGACUAUUCUACCCAACUUAUGAACAGUCAAAUAAGCCUUUCGGAUUGAAUUUUUUUCAUUUCUUACAAAGUUACCAUAUAUAUAUUUUCAUUACAAAAUGAUCAUUUUAACUUAAAAUCAGAUAAUUGGUAACUUUGUCUUAAACUAGAAGCAUCUUAAAGAAUAAUAAAACUUUCCUUCAUAAACUUCUUCUCAUAAAAUAUUAUAACGUUCAUAAUCAUAAAACUUAACGUUUCAUAAAGAAAAACAGAUAUCUGAUAACUUUUUAACAUACACUUGUACUUUCAUCAGAAGUCUUAUCUUUUUAUAACACAACAGAACUUCAGAAACUUUUAUCUUUAAUGAAUAGCUUUCUUUUCAUUAAAAACUUCUUCUUUUUAUGAGAGCUUUUAACUUUUCACAAUGCAUUUAACAAAAUAAUUCUCUCAUGAUUAAUAACAUAAUGUAGCUGUUCAUAAAUAACUUAUUAGUUAGUCCAUAGCUGAUAAGUCUGUACUUAUUUGGGAGGCUUCUAGCACCACAGUGCUAGGCAUCCAACAUUUCUCACAAUGCCAAGUAUUCCCGAGAUCACAUCAUAAUACAUAUCUUCCAACGAUGGGGGUAGGUUGGCUUCCCCCACAAGUUGGCCGUAACCAACAAGGGGCGGGUAUAGCAGAGCCAGUCUCACUUAUAAUGGCCAAUCAAAUAACGUUUUACAUGGAAAGCUAGUAAUUAACCCCUACUAGCAAAGUUCAGAUCACCAGAGAACAUAACCCGAAAACAUUUCAUACUUUACAUCAUACUGAAAUUUCUUAUUUUGCAUAAUAUUUCAUAAUAAUAACAUUUCCAUUCUUUUCUUUAAACAUCAUAUUCGUGGAAUUAGUAAUAAUAUCAAUAUGCAUAAAUCAUAUACAUAAGGUUUCGAAAGCUCAAACACAUAUCUUUGUCAGAAUAAUGAUUAUAUGUCAUAUCUCUAAUCAAAACCUUUCAAUGCAUCAUAUACUUUAAAAUAAUCUCAUGACUUACCAAAUGCUCAUAUAACUUAUCCCUUACCUAAAAAUAGAGGAACCGAGACCCUAAAGUCGAAGGAGCUUAUUAUUCAUUAUCAUAAACUUACACAUUCAUCUCAAAGCCUAUCUCUUAGAAUCAAGGGAAUCCUAAUCCCACCUCAAAGAUGUUCCCACAAACAUAUAAUGCGCACAUCAACCAAUGAUGUACCAAACUAAAGAAAAAUCAACAUUCUCAUAUUAAUAUCAUAUCUCUAGAAGAGCCAACUUCAUUUCAAAAGGUGCUUUGAGCUUAGGGCAAUAAUGUAUGCAUAAACAUAAACUCUUUUAAGCAUUUUCAUGUAACCAUAAAUACUCGCAUGGCAACAUACAACACGUUGAACAAGACAGCAACAUGAAAAUGCAAUAGAAUGAUUUAGAACCCCUCCUUUGAGUACAAAAUCUUAAACCAAGUUAUAAAAAAAUUAAUCUACGAUUUAGACAUAUCAAAUGAUGAGCGUAAUAAAUUAUAGCUCAAAUCACUCACCUUAACUUUAGAAUUAAAUCCUCAAAGUUAGGCGUGUCCCUUACUGUUCACUGUUUGUCCCAGCAGCAUAUACUUAACUUAUAAAAUACAAACGGGCCAUCAAAUGCCAUCCAAACCUCAUGCAAUUUUACAGAGCAACUCCCCUGUAUGUCCACUAUAUACCAUAAAAAUUUCAUAGUCAAAUCGUAAAAUCAUAAUUUACUAAAAAUUAUACAAUACAGCAUACUCAAAUCUCUCCUGACAAAAUUUCAUGCAACUUAGAAAUUAAACCAUUAUUUUUAUAUUGAUCCAAAUGCUGUGAGAUCACUUCCAUAACAUUCAUAUGUGUCUUAUAUUUCAUAUAAAAUAACUCUAACAUCCAAAUUCACUAUGUACAAUUUAAUACAUAAUUUAUCAUGCCUAAACACAGAAUCUGUCACAGUGACAGUUUUGCAACAUUUUCUUGUAAAUUCACAAACAAUUAUCAAACAAUGGUAUUUUCACAUGGGGAUUUUUAUGCACUCAUUAAACAUGUUAUAAAACACUUAUAUACAGUCAUGUAACCAUUAAGAGCAAAAUUACAUACAACCAAAAAUCCCAGCAGUAACAUCAAUAGUACUCAUCCUAAAUUUUUCUCACUUCCUUAAUCAUACACAAUCCUUAAUUAGUAAAAACCCUAAUCUACCUUCAACUAAUCAACAACACAAAUUCAAAGCUUCUUAAAACAGCAUAUAUGUAUAUAUAUAGACUUACAAGCUUUCCAAUUUUACAAACCACAAAAACCAACUUCUAACAAUCAUAUUAAAGAAACAUAGAAGUGAAACUAAAGCAAACCAUACCACCAUUAAAAUACCCAUGAUAAGAUGAGAUUUUUAUUUACUUACCCACAACUUUGAAGCUGAAAUCUUAGGGCUAAACUUUUGAUUUCUUCCUUAGAGUGAGAUAUAUGGUUUUAGUGAGAGAGGGAGGGAAGAGUUAAUAGUUUUUUCUUUCUUUGAUAUUGAACCCGUAGGCCACUACAACAAAAGUGGAUUAUGGUGACGAAAUUUAGUGAGAAUAAACAAUUUCGUCACUAAAUGUUAGCAUUAGGUGAGGAAAAGAAGAUGUCAUCACCAAAUAAUUUAAAUAGGUGACAAAAUCAAUAUUUUGUCACUAAAUAUGUUCAAAUUGGUGACGAAAUAUUUAUUUGCAUCACCAAAGACCUACCUUGGGUGACUAAAUAAUUUUUUGUCACAUGUUGUUAAAAAUAAUAGCGCGCUCUCAAUGUUUUUGCGCAAUGCUCAUGCCCAAUUUCGGCGCCUUCAUUUUUUUUUUUUUUUAAAUUCAAUAUUUUAAAACUUAGUCUUUCAGCCUCACGCCUAAACAAAACCCAAUAUCCACCUUUUAGCCUUUCAAUUUCAGCAUCCCACCUUCUAAAAAAAAAACUCUCAACCUCAUGCCUAAACAAAACAGAAUACCCACAAACCUCAUGCCUCUUAGCCUCCCUCAUCAAUCGGUAAGCUCUCUCUCUCUUUCUCUCUCAUAGAUCCUUUCUCUCUUUCUCUCUCAUCGAUCCUCUCUCUAUUUGUAGGAAUUGUUUUUCUCUUCGUACCAUUUUCAGUAAGGAGGAGAGUUCAUUCGUCGACUUCACCAACGCAAGGAAAAAGGGCUUUCCAAAGGCUUCAAUCGAAACCCAUUUCAGGUACGCUUCGAUUUUCCCCCAAAGUUUAUUAAAGGAUGGGUAUUAGGAAUGGGUAAUAUGAGGAACCAAGAGAUGGUGUUUCUUCCUUAUCCUUUUGGGUUUGGUGUUUAUAUUCUUGUUAAUGAGGAAAAAAUUAAUCAAUUGAUAAAAAAAGAGUUAGAUUAAUAGUAAUGCUUCUGAUAAGUAAUCGAAUUAGAUUAUUAGUAAUGCUUAGAUCUGUCUAAAAAAAAAAAAAAGAGUACUUCGUGUAAUGAUAGAUACUCUAAUACUGCAUCAAAGGUUCAAUCUUGAUAGUUUUUCAUAAUUUACUCAAGGGAGACAUGAGAAUCAUGAGAUAGUUGACAUUAAUCCUCUUGGUUGGUAAAAAGAUAAAAUUGGUGAGUAGAUCCCUGUGUAGAGUCUUCUGAGGAGCCAAUGCCCCAAAAUGCCAAUCAGCUGUGUGAUUCUAUAUAUAUAUAUAUAUAUAUAUAUGCAUGUGUGUGUGGGUUUGUUUGUAAAAAGAACAUGGAAAGAGAAAAAGAAAAGUAAUAAAAGAAGAAGCAAAAAAGCAAUAAAGAAAAACAAGUAAAAAAUCACAUAACUAUACAAGUACAACAAAGGCACAAGUGCUUUUUUUGGCUAAGCACAGAGGUGUCCAAAGAAUAAGGGAUUGGUAUCUGUAUAUACCAAUUUUCAAUCAACAUCAAAAGUAGAGAUGUGAUGAGAUAGUGUGUAUUUUAAUAAUUAAUUCAAUGGUAGAUGAGGUAGUCUAGGCUUCUUUGGUUGGAUAAUAUUAAUGGGUUCAAAUCCCACAAUGUCAUGAUUAUUUUUUAUUUAUUACAAUUAAUUACUAUCAUGCAUAUAUAUACUUACGGUUCUGCAUUUGUUUAAUGAUAAUUUUGCAGUAAUGCCGAAGAAUAUAUAACAUGCAUCUAUAUCAUUUGGGUAUCAUUAGUUAUAUAAGAAUCCUAAAUUCCAAUAAGCACAACUUAACAACUUUUUGCUAGGAAUAAUGAUCUCUGAACCCGUUAAAAAAUCCUGAAUGAACAGACUCUAUAACCAAAGAUUGUGACAAUUAAUGUUAGAUCCUUUUAGGCUAAUACCCAAGCUAUUGGAUUGGUGCCUAGUUUUCUUUAACAUGGACUUGUGUAUGUGGUUACUUAAAUUAAAACACAGGUUGCCAAGGAACCCUUAGGAGCAAAUAUAUAUAUAAAUAUAUAUAUAUAUAUAUAUAUAUAUAUAUUUUUUUUUUUCCUUUAGCCAUUUGGAGCCUUUGGCUUCACAAAAACAGAGUGGUGUUUAGAAAUUCUCUGGUAAGUCAUGAUUUGUUUAAAGAAGUUAACCAUUGUGCUACUGAAUUCUUCUAUUUGUGCUACUCAUUCUCACAUGAACAAGAGCAUGCAAUUAAUUAGAGUAGACUAAUUUUACAUUCCGAAAAGGCCAAAACCUAAUCAUUUAGAACAGUUUUAGAAAGCUAUAUUUGGUUCACUUUCUACAAGAAAAAAAAAAAAUUUGUGUGUAGGCUGAAAUUUUUUUUGUAUGAAUAAAUAGUUUGAAGUGAAAAUAUGUUCUUUUAUUUUCUCUUUGGUGUAGAAUGAAGGGAAAAAAAAGAAGGUAUUAACACAUGGUGAUACUAGUUGUUUUUGUCAUAGUUCCAAUUAUACAAAAAUGAACAUAUUAACUUAUUUGUGUUUUUGCCAUUGGUUUUGCAAAAUGAAGUGGCUGGUAGGUAGAUUGGAUUGAUUUGCAUAAAACUAGACUAUCUUGAAGCAUUUAAAAAAAGAAGAAGAUUAUUAUUAUCAAUAGUUUGAUGAUGAGUCUAUUCAAAUGUAUGAUAAUUUCACAAUUUGUCAAUAAUGAAGUAAGUGGGAAUUCCUUGUGUUUGUGCUUAAUGUCAUAUAUUUUGUUUUUGGUUUGCUAAUAAAAACUAAUAAAAAAGGUUCUUUUGGUUUGCUCUAUUGGUUUUUUUUACAGUUGAGUUUGUUUGAAUGAAAAGGCUCAAAAGAGAGAAAGUGGUUGUUAGAAACUUUUGCUAAUAAGAGUACUUUUGGUUUUAUACUUAAUGGGAAAAAUGAAAAGAUAUAUAGGUGCAAUUGCACCUGGGUUCAUUCUCAAAAAUUAGAUUACUAUCACUUCAUUUUUUUUGCUAUUGAUGAGCUAUGAGCCUAUGAGGAAUAAAACAAACAAAAUUCCUUGCGGGAUAUAGGUGCAAGUGCAACUGGGUGCAUUCUCAGAAAGAAAGGCAAAUAGAUUAUAGAGUCAUAGAGUCCCACAAGCCCUACACUUUUGGGACUAGCUUCCAUUGUAAUAACUUUAAGUCUUUAACACAAAAUGAAAUAAUGACUACUUGCAAUUCAAACAGGUGUGAUGAUUGGGGUCUUGACCACGUGUAGGGGUAGUGGUAGUCAUGCUCAUAAUUGAGUAGUUACAUAGAGUCCACAUAACCUAAAUUUAAAUUCUUCAAUUAAUUUAAUUUAUGGUUAAUCACUUAUGAUAUAUAUACACACACACACACACACACACGCAUGUAGCCUUAUUACUUGAUAUGUGCAUGCACAUCUUAUUACAAUCUAUGAUUCAUUUUUUUUAAAAUUAUUUGUAGUGUACUAGUGCACUAA